CACCCUUCCAGCUGAUCCAGCCCCACAGCCAGUUCCGCUUGUGGCUCCUGCAUCUAGCCGUCAUGGCCUCUCGCCGCCUGCUCUCCUCCCUGUUCCGGUCCUCCUCACGACGAUGCUCCGUUCUCAGGACUCCCACCCCUACAUGUCUGACUCCCUGAGCCGGCCCUCGCCCCUCUCCCGCCGGCUAUCUCCUCUCCCACGCCGCUGAGUAUGCGACCGCUGCUGCAUAAUUUGACAACUAAUUUUCGCUUAGUUCUCUGCACUUCGCCAUUCUUCGAUCUCUCCGUGCCUACCUAUUUUCUAGCCAUGAUGGCCAUCACCGCCCGCUCGCAUUCUCCUCUCCGUGCCCGAUUACUUCCAUUGGUGUGCUUCAUCCUCCCUGAGAAUAGGUCAAGUAGAUGUGAUUUCUCAACACUCUGCCAAGAACGCCUACUCACUCACGGGCAUGGGAACAAACCACUAUGGUGGAUUGCCUUCCCUUCUUUCUCUGCAUAUAUGAAUUCUCAACAAAGUGGAAGCAGAAGGAACCGGAAGACUUGGGUUUUGGUCCACCAAAAUGCAGUGCUGAGCUUCACAUUCAUCUCCAAAGAUCAGGUUGAUCCUUUGUUUACUAUCCUACUUGAAAGGGCUAAUAUCACGUUCAAGAAAUUGGCUUCAGAUUAUUGGAGAUUGCUCGAAGUACUGGUCAUAGCCAUGUGAGGUUCUUUGAUUAAUCAUCUGUUAGAAGUGGUAGGUAACUAAAAAGUGUUGUAACUACUUUUGGAAUACUUAUUGAGGGAGUAUAAGAAUUCUAGGCCAUUUUAAAUGUCCUGAUGAGUAUGAUCAACUACACAAAGAAGGCAUUUUUUGCAUGAAUAAGAUCAUUAAUUUUGUUGAAUGCAUAGAAUGAGUGAGAGUAAGUUCUGUACCUUAAUUUCCACUAUGGAAUGUCACGGAUACGUAUUAGUUUAGCUUCCCUAUCAGAACAAUUUAGUUAAUCACCUUUUAUUAACUUUAUCCAAUUAUUAAUUUAUGUUAUUUUCUUCUGUGAAGAAGGAUUGUCACGUUGAACUGUUGGGCAAUUGAGUGAAAUACCUGAUAGUUAUACAAUCAUAGCACCAAAAGGAAGGAUGAAAGUUUCAAGGUUGAAUGAUAUGACUCCCGAUGAACAAGAAGUCAUCAAUCAUUUCCAGAGUGAAAGUAAACUGCAAGAGUCAAAGAAGAGGAGUGACAGCAUACCAUAUUACAAGCUUUACUCCUUGGCUGAUAGAACAGACUAUAUUUUACUGAGUGUGGGUACAAUAUCAGCUAUCUUGAAUGACAUCUCCCUACCUAUGUCAACAACGUUUUUUGGAGAUAUGGUUAAUGCUUUCUCGAUGAACAUAAAUAUAAGAAACAUUGCUCAUGCAGUAUCCAAGGUCGAUUGCUCUUAUAAUCAUCUUAUCAAGAGAAAAAGAAUCAUAAUAAAUUUUUUAUUAAUCAGAGACCCUACUUUUUUUUCCUGACAUGUGCAAUUUUUUUCCUCUUCCUUUUGAGUUUUCAUGUAACAUUACACACAUGAAAUUCUCAAUUUUGAUUCCCAGAAAUUGCAUUUCUCAUCAGGUCUCUCUCAAGUUUGUGUAUUUAGGCUUGGCGAAUGACAUAGCAUCAUUACUAUGUUUAUUAUUAGUGGUGGCUUGGCGUAAGAAUACACAUUUACCAUGAGGUGGCUUUGCUGGACGAUCACUGGGGAAAGAGAAGAUGCAAGGAUUAGAAAUCUCUACUUGAAAGCCAUACUUGGAUAUUGGAUUCUUUGACAUGGAAGCAAACACAGGAGAAGCCGUGGCAAAGAUGUCAGGUGGCGCAUUUCUCAUUCAAGACGCCAUGGGUGAAAAGCUGGAAACAGGGCUACUCUCUUGACCAAGAUGGCAGCUCAUGGACAUUCAGCUUAUUUAGAAGUAGCGGCAAUUGUUGAACAAACAUUCGGCUCAAUUAGGACCGUAGGGAAACUUGUUUACAUUCAUGUGAGUUGAAAGAGUAAUGGUUUUGAGCUAGGCUAUUAAUGUAACAAAACAUGAUAUUAAUCAUGUUUUAAAGCGUCUGCAAACCUAGAGAACUUUUUUUGCUGACAUAGGAAGCAAGCCCACAUUUUGUUGCAUUGAAGACCUUGGUAACAAUUUUUUAGGCCUUCACCAAAUUUGUAAGCUAGCUCCUUCAGAAACCUAAAAGAACUAGCCCAUAACCGACUUGAUUGUAAUUAUUAUGUUUGUAAAUCAGUUGUGGGUAAGUUUUUUGCUAUGUAAUAAUGUUAUUCCUGUUGUGAUGUUAUGCUCUAUUAUUUGUUAAGAUCGAAUGUAUCUUAUUUAUUUACCAAAAAAAUGAAUAUACAUUCGAGAUUUAUAAA